UUGGAGGGCAAGUCUGGUGCCAGCAGCCGCGGUAAUUCCAGCUCCAAUAGCGUAUAUUAAAGUUGUUGCAGUUAAAGAGCUCGUAGUUGAAUUUCGGAGUUUGUCGGUCGGUCGGGCUUCACUGUCCGCACUGGCCUGAUGGAUUCCUACCUUCUGAAUAACCAGCAUGCUAUUAAGUUAGUGCGUUGGGGAAGCAGAGCUAUUACCUUGAAAAAAUUAGAGUGCUUAAAGCAGGCUUAUGCUUGAAUAGAUUAGCAUGGAAUAAUAAAAUAGGACGGCAUGGUUCUAUUUUGUUGGUUUCUAGGAUCACCGUAAUGAUUAAUAGGGAUAGUUGGGGGCAUUAGUAUUCAAUUGUCAGAGGUGAAAUUCUUGGAUUUAUUGAAGACUAACUUCUGCGAAAGCAUUUGCCGAGGAUGUUUUCAUUAAUCAAGAACGAAAGUUAGGGGAUCGAAGACGAUCAGAUACCGUCGUAGUCUUAACCAUAAACUACGCCGACUAGGGAUCGGACGAUGUUAAUUUUUUAAUGACUCGUUCGGCGCCUUACGGGAAAC
rnacentral:rRNA from 1 species